rnacentral:rRNA from 1 species
CAGUAGCCGCGGUAAUACGCAGGGUGCGAGCGUUAAUCGGAAUUACUGGGCGUAAAGCGUGCGCAGGCGGUUUUGUAAGACAGGCGUGAAAUCCCCGGGCUUAACCUGGGAACUGCGCUUGUGACUGCACAGCUAGAGUAUGGCAGAGGGGGGUGGAAUUCCACGUGUAGCUGUGAAAUGCGUAGAGAUGUGGAGGAACACCGAUGGCGAAGGCAGCCCCCUGGGCCAAUACUGACGCUCAUGCACGAAAGCGUGGGGAGCAAACAGGAUUAGAUACCCCAGUAGUCCCUGUCUCUUAUAA